GACGAACGCUGGCGGCGUGCUUAACACAUGCAAGUCGAACGGUGAAGGGAUCAGCUUGCUGGUUCUGGAUGAGUGGCGAACGGGUGAGUAACACGUGAGUAACCUGCCCCCUUCUUCUGGAUAACCGCAUGAAAGUGUGGCUAAUACGGGAUAUUCUGCGCCUGCUGCAUGGUGGGUGUGGGAAAGAUAUUGUUUCGGUGGGGGAUGGGCUCGCGGCCUAUCAGCUUGUUGGUGGGGUGAUGGCCUACCAAGGCGGUGACGGGUAGCCGGCCUGAGAGGGUGGACGGUCACACUGGGACUGAGACACGGCCCAGACUCCUACGGGAGGCAGCAGUGGGGAAUAUUGCACAAUGGGCGCAAGCCUGAUGCAGCGACGCCGCGUGAGGGAUGGAGGCCUUCGGGUUGUGAACCUCUUUCGCCAGUGAAGCAGGCCUGUCCCGUGUGGGUGGGUUGACGGUAGCUGGAGAAGAAGCGCCGGCUAACUACGUG
rnacentral:rRNA from 1 species